CCACACGAGAGGUGGGGACUCAGGCGGGACGCCGGUGACAAACCGGAGGAAGGUGGGGACGACGUCAAGUCAUCAUGGCCCUUAUGUCCUGGGCUACACACGUGCUACAAUGGCCGGUACAGAGCGCAGCGAGGCCGCGAGGCGGAGCGAAUCGCUUAAAGCCGGUCCCAGUACGGAUUGGAGUCUGCAACCCGACUCCAUGAAGUUGGAAUCGCUAGUAAUCGCGCAUCAGCAUGGCGCGGUGAAUACGUUCCCGGGCCUU
rnacentral:rRNA from 1 species